rnacentral:lncRNA from 1 species
CCGAGACCUGCCCUGCCCUCCGGGGCGGCCCCGAGCCCGGCCGGGCCCUCGGAAGUCGGAAGAGGAGGGUGCCGAGUGGCUGCGAACAUCGAAAGGCAGCGUCAAGUUCUGCUUCCCGCGCUGACCGGCCCCGCUCGCCCACGCGUGCCCGGGGAGGCUGGGGGCCAGCCGAGGGGCGGGCGCGGGGCCGGGGGCGCGGGGAAGUGAGCGGAAGUCGGAGCAGAGACCGCGGAAGGAGGGUGGCUGGCGGCGGUCGCGGCAGUCUCCGAGGCCGGUUCAGAUUUGCUGUUUCCGCGUCAGCUUUCCUGGUUUAAGACUAGAGUGUGGCCGCGCUGUGCUUUUCUGUAGAAAGCAACGGUCGAGAGUGCCUCUCGGGUGUAGUGCUCCGAUCGGAAAGGCGGGAGCUUGGUGAUCAAGGGGUUCAGUGCGGCUCAGCCGAUUCCUCAACCUGCCCCUCAAGGGCUCCCCGUUCUGAAAAUGAGUUCUUCAUGUCUGCGGUCCCCGUGUUGGAAACCUGCAGAGGAUGUUGCGGGGGGAAGGGAGGGCUCAGUCUUCCAGGCCGAAGGUGCGUGUGAGCAGGAGUGAGCCUCCAUGUGCGAUGAGGGUCUUUGUUCCAGGAGCCCCCCCUUCCCAAACCUCCAGGACACGGGACUUGAAGGAUGUUUGAUGGAGCCAGAAGAGGAUAUGACCAGCAAGAAUAUUUGUUUAAACUGAAAUCGAGACCUUCCUUCUCUUCAAUGGAGACUCCCAGAUACACAAGCUAUUGGGGGCUAUCCUACCAGAGAGCACAGUAAAGGCAGGGACGCCUGCCACAGCAUGGCUUGCCAAGUGGCGCCAUGUCUGCACCCGGGAUCUGAACCGGCGAACCCCAGGCCGCUGAAGCGGAAUGUGCGCACUUAACCGCUGUGCCAUGAGACCAGCCCCUUGGGGGUGAAUCUUAAAGCAGAACCAUUUAGUAGCCAUGAGCGCCAUUCACAAACUCAGUUAAAAUCAUGUAACAGAAAC